UUUUAACCAGAGCAUCAAUAUCGUUACGCACACCAUACAUUAGCUCCUUCUGUGAUUCUUCAUGAGUAUGCUGUAAAUUAUAUAGUGAUCUUAAUUCCUGAACAAGUUGUCGGUAUGAUUCUUUCAUGUCUUUCUGCAAUUCUAUCAAUUCCGAAGAAAUUCCAUUUCCCAACUUCUGGGAAGACAUGCUAAUAUCCUGCAGACUGUGCUCCAACGCAUCAAGAAGGCUGUUUUUGGAAUCCUUUAAUUCAGAAACAAUUAGGUCUAAGCUAGAAUUAGGUACUGCACAAGAAGAACGAGCACUUUGCAACGCCUCAUCUAAACUCUGAAAAUGCUCAGUAAUUUUGGUCAUAGAAAUCAGCAGUUGAUUACUGUGGGUGUUCAAUAAUUCUUCCAUUGAAGCAUUAAAAUCAUUCAACAAAGUAAAAUAGCCAUUUGUUUCAUCAGUAAAACUUCCAUGAAAAGAUCUCAACAUCGUUAACAAAUUGAACUUAAGAUUCCAAAAA